AUGCCAUGCGACACUGAUAUUUACUAAAAGUUGUAAUAUUAAGACGCAGCGUUUUCAGAAUGUUUUGCUUUUGAACGUGUUAUAAUAUCGCUACUCUCAGGGGCUUAGGGUCUUCAGUUAACAGCUGAUAGGAAAAGAUACGUCCCGGCGUGGUGAGGAAGCAUCGAGUCCCUGAAACCAAAACACCACCUUGGCAACUGCGGACAGAUCCCCGCUACACUGACUACGUGUAUCCACGGAAAAAUCCUCAGGUACGGUGUUCUGGUGUCAACUGUCGCCAAGUGGACCGACACCGCCUCCUCUCGGAGACAGCGGCGACAGUCCUUGCCUUGAUCGUCCGCCGCCGCCUCUCCAGGACUCCCGAGCCCUCUCCCGCGGGGACCCUCGCCCUCCUCGCACCCCGUGAGUUCGGCUGCCGCCGCCUCGAGCGCGUCCAGCAGCAGGAAUGUGUCCUCCGCGGGCUCGUACACGUCGCUGAAGGCGCCACGGCCCACAUGCCUGUGCAAUGGCGUGGGGAGGCAAGGCGCCGCCAUCUUUCGCCCCUCCGGCCCACGCUUAUGCGCAAUGCGCAUGCGUGCGUGCAAGGGCGCAGGCCCAGCAGUGGGGGCGGAGCACCGGGGGGCGGAGAGUCGCCUCGCUUACAGUUCUGGAAGUGAGAAACUGAAAAUCAAGGUGUUGGAUAGGCCAUCCUCUCCAUGAAGCCUCUAGUGUAUAAAUAGAACCUCAGAAGAUGGUUAAGCUGAAGAGAGAGCCUUAAGAGGACAGCAUUCCAGCAGGAUCAAUUAACAGUUUGACUUCCCUGGUGAUGCAGUCGUUAAGAAUCUGCCUGCCAAUGCAAGGGACACGGGUUUGAGCCCUGGUCUGUGAAGAUCCCAUGUGCCACGGAGAAACUAAGCCCGUGUGCCACAACUACUGAGCCCAUAUGCCACAACUACUGAAGCCCACGUGCCUAGAGCCCGUGCUCUGCAAUAAGAAAAGCCACCACAAUGCGAAGCUUGCACACCGAAACGAAGAGUAACCCCCACUCUCCGCAACUAGAGAAAGCCCGCGCACAGCAACGAAGAACCAACUCAGCCAAAAAUAAAAAAUAGAUAAAUAAAUUUAUAAA